AGCCGCGAUUAUUGGGCCUAAAACGUUCGUAGCCGGAUAAGUAAGUCUUUGGUUAAAUCCUGCGACUCAACCGUGGGAAUUCUAGAGAUACUGCUCGUCUUGAGACCGGGAGAGGUUGGAGGUACUCCUAGGGUAGGGGUGAAAUCCUGUAAUC
rnacentral:rRNA from 1 species